CAAGCGGUGGAGCAUGUGGUUUAAUUCGAUGCAACGCGAAAAACCUUACCUGGUCUUGACAUCCAUAGAAUUCUUUAAAAAUAAAGAAGUGCCUUAGGGAACUAUGAGACAGGUGCUGCAUGGCUGUCGUCAGCUCGUGUUGUGAAAUGUUGGGUUAAGUCCCGCAACGAGCGCAACCCUUAUCCUUUUUUGCCAUCGGUUGGGCCGGGAACUAAAAGGAGACUGCCAGUUAUAAACUGGAGGAAGGUGGGGACGACGUCAAGUCAUCAUGGCCCUUACGACCAGGGCUACACACGUGCUACAAUGGUACAUACAAAGAGAAGCAACUCUGCAAAGACAAGCAAAUCUCAUAAAGUGUAUCUUAGUCCGGACUGGAGUCUGCAACUCGACUCCACGAAGUCGGAAUCGCUAGUAAUCGUGAAUCAGAAUGUCACGGUGAAUACGUUCCCGGGCCUUGUACACACC
rnacentral:rRNA from 1 species